UCUUCCGAAUUGCGAACUACAUUCCAGAUUACAAGACGACGUGUCAUUUUCUUUAUUGAAACGAGCAACUCUGCCAUCAAUUCAACCGGAAAAGAAACGAGAACAAGUUCUAGAUGCGCAAAACGAAAACUGGACAUGAUAUUUUUUUUCUCGGUGACAGAUUAGAGGUUUCAUAUGCUCCUUAGUUUGAGAGGGUGGAUGAUACCAAGGACAAGUUCUAAAGGAGGAGAAAGGAAGUUCUGGCUAUAGAUUGUCCUGGACUUAAGAGAAUCACAACGUACAUGUCAAGCAAGUGAUUGUCCAGUCACCAGUCACUUUUUGUGGGGCUCUGGUAAAUCACAACAUGUUAAUCAAGUUACUGAUUCACCUUUCACAAGAGUUUCCUUUGAUAAUGUAUUCUCUUUUUCUUUACUGACAUGCCAAACUUUAAAAAUGUGGUGGUGUGGAGUUGUUGUACAAUGUAGUAAUGGUUACUGUUGCUGUUUCUUUCACAAUUAAGGUAGCCAUUGUUACUCUAGUUGGGUAGGUUAGUUUGUUUGGACAAAGACAACUGGCGUGAGUCUGAAGUGGAGAUCAAGGCAGAACUCAACCAUGUUCAGGCUUCCAUGCUGCUGAGUCCAUGUUGGAUCGAUUAGAUCACAUUGUUCUGUUCAGCAUGGAGUGCAUAACUUUAAAUCUUGACCUCCUUGAGUGUUGUCUUUCCUUAUGAAUGUUUGACAAUCUUUAUUAAUCUUCUGUUGUUUUAACAAUAUUAUAAAGGUCAGCACAAAUUCUUUGCAAUACAAUGUUUUGAUUUUCAA